CCCAGACUCCUACGGGAGGCAGCAGUGGGGAAUAUUGCACAAUGGGGGGAACCCUGAUGCAGCGACGCCGCGUGGGUGAAGGAGCGUUUCGGCGCGUAAAGCCCUAUCGGCAGGGAAGAAGGAGGACGGUACCUGACUAAGAAGCCCCGGCUAACUACGUGCCAGCAGCCGCGGUAAUACGUAGGGGGCAAGCGUUAUCCGGAUUUACUGGGUGUAAAGGGGGCGCAGACGGCAGCGCAAGCCAGGAGUGAAAGCCCGGGGCCCAACCCCGGGACUGCUCUUGGAACUGCGCGGCUGGAGUGCAGGAGGGGCAGGCGGAAUUCCUGGUGUAGCGGUGAAAUGCGUAGAUAUCAGGAGGAACACCGGUGGCGAAGGCGGCCUGCUGGACUGCGACUGACGUUGAGGCCCGAAAGCGUGGGGAGCAAACAGGAUUAGAUACCCCAGUAGC
rnacentral:rRNA from 1 species